CCCAGUGUUAAAUAUGCAGUGUCAAAGUGCAUUGACUCUAUCCGAGUUAAUACAACAACAGCUUGAGUAAAGCGCCCCCCAGUGUUGGUGUCAAUUUCCGUCGUUAAAUGAGCAGUGUUAGACUUACUCUGAAGAGCCCCGCCCACCUCCUCUUCAAUUUCUAACCGUCAGAAUUUUCAAGACGGCAUUUUCUCCCAGUGGAAAGAGUACGUACGAGAACAUGCUCCUCAAAGUGAAACUUGGUGAUGUCCAAAAAUUUGUUAGAGUAACUGAGCCAAAUCUGUCAGACUUUUUGAAUGCAGCAUUUGCCAAAUUUGGUGUCCCAGCUGUAACAGAAGUUGUCAAAGUUGUUGACAGGGACUGAAUUAGAUGACGAUGUUUUUGAGGAUAUAGUAAAGGAUCCCUACACUGGGGUGCUAACCAUCAUAUAUGAAACAGAAUCUGUCUCCAUGGUAGCCUCUCCUGAGUCCCAACUAUCAUCUCUGGGUUCAUCGGACUCACUGGAUACCAUCAUCCUUUCAGACAGCCCUUCCAGAAAGUGUCAGAGGCUGGAUUCAGAGGCUAUGCAACUGGUGAAAUCCAUUCUUACCAAGAAAUCUGGUGGAGAAUAUAUAAUAAAUGAAUACAACCGAACUAAGACCUUGGCAGAUGAGAGCAGAAGGAAAAUGGUGAACAUACUGGCAGCUGAUAUGACGGAGAAGAAUGGUACAUCUCCACCCAGACAGGUGAAAGAAAUGUAUGCGAGAGGAAAUGUGAACUUGUUCCCCUACCUCAGAGACCCAUUCUCCAAGAAUAGCUAUGGAGCAUUAUUAUGAUGGAGACAGUGGUACUGGGUACUUGGCCUGGAGAAUUAAAACUAUUCAGAGAUGCAGUGCUAAAGACAAGCGGUCAUUAUUUGGAGCAUCAGCGGAAGGACCAUCUGGUGAGGACAUGUCAGGAGGACCGACUGUCAGACGAGUUUCCCAAUUCGUUCCAGAGACUGUCCUGAGUGAAGAUGAGUGCAAGGAAGCAAUGUCACUGAUGAAACAUUCAGCUGACGAGGACACAGUUAGGAAGAAGAUGAAGCUGACAUUUGUCCAUCGGCGUAACAUGGUCCUUGACCCACAGCAGUCAAGCAACAUACUAUCUGAUUUUCCUCGUUUAAAGACAUCAGAGGCUUGGUUGAACAAGAUUUUGCUCUGAUGUUUGGAGAGGAUGUAUCAGACAAGUUUCUGGAGAAGUGGCCAACCACAUUCAAGAAGAUCAUCCAACAAUGCAGAACGAUUCCCUCCACCAGUGAGCUUAAGGAACUCCUGGCAGCUGAUCCUUCUGAGGAUGGGGAUGAAGUGGAUAUUGACUAUGGUUGGGACAGUGACCUCUCAUCAAUUUGACUGCUGCUACACUUGAUCCCACCUACUGCUCUAGGUCGGAAGAGGCCAGGAAAGGUGUCUGCGUCCCGGGCUGAGGAGCAUCUUGUGGUCUUCAAGAAGACGGGAACAAUCAUCCAAGAGCAUCUCGAUGCCAUAACUAGUAGCACUCAACCCUAUCUCCUGGCUGUUGGAGUGAGGAAGAAUGCAAUCCACCAGUUCUUCAUCAUUCUCGACAAGAAUGCUAUACCUUGCAGGUCACCCUCUUCUCUUGGUGCUUCUGAUGAACUGUUUAAGGUACACUUCGUGUUUGGGACAUCAUACAACACCAUGCUCCACAACAUGUACACGUUCAUCCAAACCACUGUGUACAACAUUGAUGUUGGCAAAUUUUAUGCCGACCUAAGGUCAGUGUUUUUAUAUUCUGUACCUGAUGUUGAUAUUUUGGCCUGACAGGAA